rnacentral:rRNA from 1 species
CCUACGGGAGGCAGCAGUAGGGAAUCUUCCACAAUGGGCGAAAGCCUGAUGGAGUAACGCCGCGUGGGUGCAGAAGGUCUUCGGAUCGUAAAACCCUGUUGUUAGAGAAGAAAGUGCGUGAGAGUAACUGUUCACGUUUCGACGGUAUCUAACCAGAAAGCCACGGCUAACUACGUGCCAGCAGCCGCGGUAAUACGUAGGUGGCAAGCGUUAUCCGGAUUUAUUGGGCGUAAAGGGAACGCAGGCGGUCUUUUAAGUCUGAUGUGAAAGCCUUCGGCUUAACCGGAGUAGUGCAUUGGAAACUGGGAGACGUGAGUGCAGAAGAGGAGAGUGGAACUCCAUGUGUAGCGGUGAAAUGCGUAGAUAUAUGGAAGAACCCCAGUGGCGAAAGCGGCUCUCUGGUCUGUAACUGACGCUGAGGUUCGAAAGCGUGGGUAGCAAACAGGAUUAGAUACCCUGGUAGUC